rnacentral:misc_RNA from 1 species
AAAUGCGAUAAGUAAUGUGAAUUGCAGAAUUCAGUGAAUCAUCGAAUCUUUGAACGCACAUUGCGCCCGCCAGUAUUCUGGCGGGCAUGCCUGUUCGAGCGUCAUUACAACCCUCAGGCCCUCGGGCCUGGCGUUGGGGAUCGGCGGAAGCCCCCUGCGGGCACAACGCCGUCCCCCAAAUACAGUGGCGGUCCCGCCGCAGCUUCCAUUGCGUAGUAGCUAACACCUCGCAACUGGAGAGCGGCGCGGCCACGCCGUAAAACACCCAACUUCUGAAUGUUGACCUCGAAUCAGGUAGGAAUACCCGCUGAACUUAAGC